rnacentral:rRNA from 1 species
AUGGAGAUCCAGAAGAGCUCCCCGUGCUCUUGGCAGCCGCCGGAGUCACGGCACGGUCGGCGGCGGCGACCAUACGCAAACGCAAGGGUGAAGAAUAACUAUUCCUCACCCAGGGGGAUGAAUAGUCAAUCCCUAUAUAUAUAUGGUAAUCUUUUGUUACUUGUACAUCUUGUGCAGGAUAUCUUGCGGCACAUAUAUUCCUUGUUGACAAUGCGAGAUGCAGCUCGCACAGCAUGUGUGCCUCAGAGCUUUCUACAUUUCUGGAGGUGCUUCCCCAAGCUGGUAUUCAAUCCGGAAACUUUGGCCGCAGGCAGAGAUAGAGGCAAGUAUGUUUUCAGCAAAGAACAAGAGGUGCUUGAGAACCACUCAGGCAUUGGAGUGAAGACGCUCAAGCUUCACCUCUCCGCCUGUUGCAAGAAAGACAUCGACACCAGCCUUCUGGAUGGCUGUCUCCAAGCCUUUGUGAAGCCCGGAAUCGUCGACCUCGCCGUGUUGCUGCCUGAUUGCUAUGCAUCUGAAUACAGCUUUCCCUACUCGCUUCUGUUAAAUGAUGAUGUGGCCAACAGCAGAUCGACCUCAGUUCUUAAGUCUCUUUACCUCAGCUCAUGUGGCUUCCACCCCACAGACGGCCCAAGGGUGCUUGCUUGCUCUUGGAGCUUAUCGAGACUGCGAUUGUGCAAGGUCGGUGUCACUGGGGAUGAAUUAUGGUUUUUUCUUUCGAGCUGCUUCUCUCUAGAGUGGCUGGAUCUCUCCAACUGUGACAUGAUAACCUCCCUGAAGAUACCCCAUGUUCUACGGAAGCUAAAAACAGUGUGGGUGAGAAUGUGCAGAGAGCUGGUGGUGAUCGAAAGCCAUGCUCUGAAGCUCUCCACCUUUAGCUACGAAGGACGGCAGUUGUCGAGAUUCACACUCAGAGACUCAUUGGAGAUGGAGGAGUUGGACAUGCACGCCGCACACAUGCAGGACAUGCUCCAGUAUGCAGGCAACAAUUUGCCAUCCGUUGCAACAAACCUUGAAACGCUUGUGCUGUCAACAGUUCAUGAGAAGCUGAAGGCACCUGCGACGACUGACACAUUUAAGCACCUCAAGCAUCUCGUUAUCUGCCUUGGUGAAUGUGGUGAAUUUUGCACAGGCUAUGACUUCCUAUGUCUGGCUUCUUUUCUUGAUGUUUGUGUUGCGUUGGAGACUUUCAUCUUACGUAUUGAAGAUGGUUCCGGAUGGUACAAGAAGUACCUUAUUUAUGGGAAACCAGAUGAAAAUUCAUUGCAAUCCAGGAUAGAGCUCCCUGGAUUCUGUUAGGGUGGCCUUGUAAACCUAAGGAAGGCGACCAUCACAGGCUUCUGCUCUGCCAAGAGCCUUGUCGAGCUAACAUACCACAUCCUCGAGCAGGCGGCAUCCUCGUUGCAAUGCCUCAUCUUGGAUACCUCCCCCGUCUACGACAGAAAGUCGUCCACCUCCGACAGGUUCUUGCCGACGUGUAUGGAAGCUCUCCGGGAUGCUGAGAAGGCGCUCGCUGAUGUAAGGCGAUAUGUCGAGCCAAAGGUCCCUGAUGGUGUUGAGCUGAAGGUUCUUGCGCCCUGCAGCCGGUGCCAUUACAUGGAUGCCAAAGCUAUGGAGGAGGCAGAACCGAAAACUGGACAGAGGUUUUUGCAGCGUCAAGAAGAUGGCAGCAUUGCCUUGGUUUUUGUUCAGCCAAGGAGCAAAUAUGCCGAGUUAAACACUACGUAUGUUUGA